UCCCGCCUGCCCAGUGACUCUUUAAACGGCCGCGGUAUCCUAACCGUGCAAAGGUAGCAUAAUCACUUGUCCCCUAAAUAGGGACUAGAAUGAACGGCUAAAUGAGGACAAAACUGUCUCUUACGGACCAACCAAUGAAAUUGAUCUUCCAGUACAAAAGCUGGAAUAAACCCAUAAGACGAGAAGACCCUGUGGAGCUUUAAAACCAAAACCACCAAACAUGUUUCUUGGUUUUUUAGUUGGGGCGACUUUGGAGAAAAAAUAAUCCUCCAAACUAUAAACCCAUUUAUUAAGAAUAACACAUCAAAAAUAAUUAAAUAGACCCAGCAACAUUAUGUUGUCUGACCAAUGAACCAAGUUACCCCAGGGAUAACAGCGCCAUCCUCUUCUAGAGUCCCUAUCGACAAGGGGGUUUACGACCUCGAUGUUGGAUCAGGACACCCCUAUAGUGCAGCCGCUUUAAAAGGUUCGUUUGUUCAACGAUUAAAGUCCUACGUGAUCU
rnacentral:rRNA from 1 species